ACUUCCCUGGAGCGUUCGUGAUCCAAUUCUCGACGCUAACCUGACAAAGCGCAAAUAACAGGGCUUCGUCCCUGCGGCCUGUGCGCAAGCCCGCUUCAAGGCGGGACGCCUGACGGACGCAUAUUGAGGCCCGACCUGGAAUACCAGGUUCCGCAUCGCGGAUUUGACACGGCUCUCCGGGGCGCUU
rnacentral:other from 1 species